rnacentral:rRNA from 1 species
ACGAACGCUGGCGGCAUGCCUAACACAUGCAAGUCGAACGAGACCUUCGGGUCUAGUGGCGCACGGGUGCGUAACGCGUGGGAACCUGCCCUUAGGUUCGGAAUAACUCCCCGAAAGGGGUGCUAAUACCGGAUAAUGUCUUCGGACCAAAGAUUUAUCGCCUUUGGAUGGGCCCGCGUUGGAUUAGCUAGUUGGUAGGGUAAAAGCCUACCAAGGCAACGAUCCAUAGCUGGUCUGAGAGGAUGAUCAGCCACACUGGGACUGAGACACGGCCCAGACUCCUACGGGAGGCAGCAGUGGGGAAUAUUGGACAAUGGGCGAAAGCCUGAUCCAGCAAUGCCGCGUGAGUGAUGAAGGCCUUAGGGUUGUAAAGCUCUUUUACCCGGGAUGAUAAUGACAGUACCGGGAGAAUAAGCUCCGGCUAACUCCGUG